UAUUACCAUAUUCGACACUUUUUGACAACUUUGUGAUAUCAAUUUACUCAAAUAAAAUGUUUUCCUGACUACAAUAGGUACCACACAAAAGCUUUACAUAUUGAUUUUUGUUGUUGUAUUUUUUUAAAGUACGGACUGUAAAUGAUAAGAUGAGCAACAGCUGUGAAUGUAAUUAAUAUACGUAUGUUUAAUGUCAUUCAUAAAUGCUUUGAUUAGUAGUCUAAAGUGAUGCAGCCACCAGUGAUCUUAACAGAAUUACAAGGGCGAUGCUGUGGCAGCACGGUGGAGCAUGUGGUUAGCACAUCUGCCUCACAGCCAGGAAUCCGGACUCUGUGCACGGAAGGCAGCAGGUUGCUAUGAUGGGAUUCCCACUGAUGCAAUAUCAGCCAACCUUGACUCAACUCUCUGGGGACUACGUUGAUAUUAUGCACAUUGAAAGACGGCUUAACCGGAUGCUUUUCUGUGUUCUGAGGAGAGAUGUGGUUCAUUUCAACAAGAGGCCCAGGUGUGGUUGUGUUGCAUCUCAAUGCAUUCACUCUAUUGGCUGGCCAGAGUGAACUUAUGAGACAGCCGUCUGGAGACUGCAAUGUUUACAAAAGUCGGACAAGUCCAGGAAGGUGUGCUUGGUUGUAAAGGUGGUUCAGAGAAGCUUGGAGAAGUUCCUUGUGUGUUAAUGUGUAGCUUUCUCACAAGAGGCACCUUUGUAAAGCGGACAGUGUUUCGGGUUGUGGACUUUGAUUUCUGCCUGAUUCAAGCAAAAGAAUAAAAACUGCUGAUCAUUGACUAGUAUACUAACCCGUAUGAUUCUCUCUGGACCAGAGAUUUUUUUUUUAAAG